UAUAUUUUUAUCAAACACAAGUAGGUAUGUGUGUAAUGAAUUUGGUAUAAUAUAGAAUAAUUAAGUACAGUACUUCCCCAUCCCACUAUUUUUUUGUAAAAUAAAAUUCUGGUUGACUACCUGUGUCAAAUACAUAAGUCUUAUGAUUUCUUUUUUUUUUAACACCCAGAUCAUGUGGCCGUCACCAUUAUUUAUUUUAUAUUAUUUAUGGAAAAAAUAACAACUACAUAACUAUGACAUUUAAUUUCCAGGUUACCCCUACCAAUGACUAUUACCUGAAGCAGAAGCAGGAGAAGAAUCCAAAGGUUCAAAGGCCCAACCCAGCCCAAGUCCCCACUACUACCCAGAUCUUCGCCAUUGAAUUUUUUUUUGGGCUCUCCUGAUCACCUGGCUCCACUCUGAUUGCUCCUAGUACUAUACUCUAGGAACUCUUGGUCAAUAGUAUAACUUUCCUUCCUAAGCUGAUCCAUGAUUUUCCCUGCUUGUCGCUAAUUAACAUAGCCUCCAUCAUUGGUCUUGCUUCAGCACCACUAGUUUCCCCAAAUCUUAGCUAGUUGUUUGUUGAGCCCCCUAUCCUGACCUCCAACUCAUAGCAUAAGUUAUAAGGGCCAAGCUGCUUAAACCUAUUGACUUCAAUACCUAGUAUAUUCUAUCCAUUAAAUAUGUACUGGCAUAUCACAGCUAACUCUCAUCUUUGAGUGCUGUUUCUCUAUCCUUAUUUGUUAACCUUGGAAUUUGGAAUUGUUUGUGUGACACUUUUCCUGAAUGUCACACAGACAAUUCGGUAAACAUACUUCCAUACCUGGUUGCACAUUAAAGCAAAUGAAACUGAAAUAAUUUAAAACAAAUUAAACAUAUAGGAAUAAAACUAAAAUUUAAAUAUUAUGACAAGAGUAACUACUAGCCAAUUACUUUUCUCAAAUAGCCAUGUUCAUAUAAAUUCAACACUAAUAUUUGUUUAUUGCUUAUGUAUACAGUGUGUCUUGUCUUAUAUGUUCCACUAAAUUACUUUUCUUGAAUUGCAAAUCAUUAUUUUUAUCACCAGAUAUGAAUAGGUCAUUUUCUUUCUACAUUAUUUUGAUCCAAUGAUCAUGGUUGUAAAACUAAAAUUGAUCUAGU